rnacentral:rRNA from 1 species
CAAUAGCGUAUAUUAAAGCUGUUGCGGUUAAAAAGCUCGUAGUUGGAUUUCUGUCAAGUACAACUGGUCCGCCCUCCGGGUGAGCACAUAGUUUGGUCUUGGCAUCUUGCUGGAAAUUGUUGCUGCACUUGGCUGUGUGGCGCAGUGUCCAGCACUUUCACUUUGAGGAAAUUGGAGUGUUUCAAGCAGGCAAUGCCUUUGAACACAGUAGCAUGGAAUAAUUAGAUUGGGCUUUUGCUCCAAUUUGUCGGUUUCUGGAGCUGAGGUGAGAAUUAAUGGGGAUUGUUGGGGGCAUCCGAAUUUAGCCGUCAGAGGUGAAAUUCUUGGAUUUGUUAAAGACGGACUACUGCGAAAGCAUUUGCCAAGGAUGUUUUCAUUGA